rnacentral:rRNA from 1 species
GGAGACGACUACGUUGAUAGGUCACAGGUGUAAAGGCAGUAAUGUCAUAGCCGAGUGAUACUAAUUACCCGUAGGCCUAUCGU